AGAAUCAACGCUGGCGGCGUGCCUCAGACAUGCAAGUCGAACGCGAAAGUCCCCUUCGGGGGGCAAGUAGAGUGGCGCACGGGUGAGUAACACGUAGGUAAUCUACCUUUGGAUGGGGAAUAACAAUCGGAAACGAUUGCUAAUACCGCAUAAUGCAGCGGCACCUAAUGGUGACAGUUGUUAAAGCGUGGGAUCGAAAGACCUCGCGUCUAAAGAGGAGCCUGCGGCGGAUUAGCUAGUUGGUAAGGUAAUGGCUUACCAAGGCUACGAUCCA
rnacentral:rRNA from 1 species